AGUUCCAAAUUUUUUUUCUCCCUUACUGCCUUCAUUCCUUCCUUCCCAAGAAUACAAUUUGACAUAGUUUAUAUAUGUAUGAUCAUUUUAAACAUAUUUCUACAUUAGUCAUAUUAUUCAAGAAAAAUCAGACAAAAGGGGAAAAUGACUAGAAAAGGAAAAGUAACCAGAAAAAAAAAAAAACAUGUUUUAAUAUAUAUUCAGUUUUCAUAUUUCUCUCUCUGGAUGCAGAUGCAUUUUCCAUCCCAAGUUUAUUGGAAUUGUUUUGGAUCAUUAUAUUGCUGAGGAGAGCUAAUUCUAUCGUAUCUGAUCAUCAUACAGUCUUGUUUUUACUUUGUACAAUGUUCUCCUGGUUGGGCUCACUUCACUCAGCUUCAGUUCAUGUAAGUCUCUCUAGGCGUUUCUGAAAUCAUCCUGCUCAUCAUUUCUUAGAGAACAAAAAUAUUCCAUUACAUUUCUGUGCCAUAACUUAUUCAACCAUCCCCCAGCUGAUGGGCAUCCACUCGGUUUCCAGUUCCUUGCACUUUAAAAAGAGGUGCUACAAAUUUUUUUUGCACAUAAGGGUCAUUUCCCCCUCUUUUAUGAUCUCUUUUGGCUAUAGAUCCAGUAGUGACACUGUUGGAUCCGAGGAUAUGCAUCAUUUCAUAAGAUAUGGGCAUAAGAAAUUCAGUCUAAUGUAUGAGGUUUUCUCUGUCUAGGCAACAAACAGGAGAUAAAGGAUUCUUGCUGAGGUGUGGGUUCCCAGGAACUAGAUGUGAAUUUGCAUGGUUCCAACUCCUUAUUAUAAUAUUAUAAUUCAUGGUGAAGUGCCCAGACGAGAGAAAAUAUAGGACAGCCAAAAUAAUGUAAAUUUAAGAGUGUUUAUUCCUAGCUAGCAACUGAACCCCACCAGAACAGAGGAAUCAGUAUCAAGCGAUUUCAGAGACACAUUUAGAGAAAGAAACAAAAAAGUUCCCUAAUACAUUUGUCACACUAAAGGAAUUUCAUCCUGGACAGGAGGCAAAGAUUAUCACACUAAGAGUCCCAUUUCCUGACAGGCAAUAAGAUAGUAUUUCUUUAUGAUUAUCAAAUUGUCAAGGUCUUAGGUUUUUUUAGGGCAGCACAUCUGAGGGUGUAAAAAUACCAUCUGCAUUAGGGUAUGAAGAACCACUAACAAACUUCUAACCUCAGUUUCAAGAUUAUGCUUCUCACGGUCCAGAGGGGUCUCCUUCCACUGAAGUGGAUGGAAACGCUCAGAAGAUUAACCCACAUUUGGAGUAUAUCCUCAGCUCUGAGUAAAGUCUAAUAUCUGACUGGUCUUUUGGGGAUUUCAUUUGAAGACUCAAGUCCUGAUUGGGGCAACCCUACUCCUUUGCCACACUGUUCUUGUUUCCAGCCAUGCUGUCUUUGAGUCCUCAUGGAAAAUAGAACAUUUAUCAGGUUUGCAGAGGGCACCAAACCAGAAGGGAUGGCUAUCAUUUUGAGUCAUAAGGCCAUAGUUUCAGGGCUAGAAGGAACCUUAAAGGUCAAGUUCUAGUACAAACUCUUUACUUUUUCUGAUGAAGAUACUGAGAACCCAGAGAAUCCAGCCACUUGUUAAAGAUCACAUGGCUAAGAGGUAGCAGAGCUGAAUUCGAACUCAUGCUCUUUGUAUUAGUCUAUAAUGUCUAUUAUAUUGGAUGACAUAAUCCAAAAGAUUUUGAUAUGUGUAAACAUUAAGCUGUCUAAGAAGAAAGAAAUUCUUGUGGGUUUAUAGAUAUAUGGCCAUUUAUGUAUCGCACACAGUUUUUAAAAUAAUCAACUUUUAUUAAGGAAUUGAAUUUGGAAUCAGAUCUGGAUGUUUUAGAGCCCUAUAAGCUUAAUGUGAGUCAACAGAGUAAUAUGGCGGCCAAUAGAAGCCAGUGUUAUUGAUCCUCAGCUUCACUGGCAGGGGCAAUGUGCUUAAGAUAGUGAGCUAAUAGCCUCUGUGAAGACUUGUUCCAUUCUGGGAAACCCCAGUUAGGAAAUAUAUUAAUAAGUAUGUGAUUUAUCCAAAAAAGGACAAAAUAGGUAAAAUAAGAAAAUAAGAUGGUCCUUGCCCUCAAGAAAUUUACAUCCUAAUAGGUCCAGUGUAAGGCAGCUAAUAUAGAGUGCUGAAAGUGAAGCAACCAGAAUGAUGAAGGCAAGAAAAAGAAAGUGCAAGGAAGGGUGAUGGUCAUCUCUAUUUUUAGGAUUUAACUUAGAGCAGGGAUUAGAUUUGUUUUGUUUAGCCCCAAAAGGCAGAAUCAAGGAGUUGUGGGUGAAAGUUGGAAAGAAGCAAAAUUACAUUUGACAUAUAUAAAGUGGAAUGUUCUGCCUUGAGAGGCAGUAGCUUACCUUGUAUUGGAAGUAUUCAAACAAAGGCUGAAUGGCUAGUUGGGUAUAUUGUAGGGGGAAUUCUUGUUUGGGUAUGAGUCAGACUUAUUAGUUUCUGACAUUUCUUCCAGUCGUAUAAUUAUGCAGUCAUGUACAUUAUUUUUGCAGAUGUCACAAAGCCAGAAAGGAUGGCUACCAUAUUGGAUCAUAAAGUUGGAUACAGACCCAGUAGUGACACUGUUGGCUCCAAGGAUAUGCACCGUGGUCCACUUCAUUAUUUUUGGUUAAUAAUAGCAAAUGUAAUAAUAAAGUGAAGGCUUGCAAAGCACUAAAUAUUAUUACCUCAUUUGAUUUCUCCUGAGGUAGGUGCCUUGUAUCACAAAUGAGGAAGCCAAACCUAAAAGAUUUUAAAUGACUUCCCUCGACUCCCACAGCUCGGAGAUGUGUCGGAGGUAGGAUUCACAUUCCACUUACCACCCAACUGCUUCCCAAUCCAUAUUUGGACACAAAAAAAGGGAAACCAAGAAAGAUGAGUACAUGUAAAGCCCAGAUUGGUGAAGAUCUCAUUCAAAUUAUGGAAUAUUAUUGUUCUGUAAGAAAUGACCAGCAGGAUGAUUUCAGAAAGGCCUGGAGAGACUUACACAAACUGAUGCUGAGUGAAAUGAGCAGGACCAGGAGAUCAUUAUAUACUUCAACAACAAUACUAUAUGAUGAUCAAUUCUGAUGGACGUGGCCCUUUUCGGCGAUGAGAUGAACUAAAUCAGUUCCAAUAGAGCAGUAAUGAACUGAACCAGCUACACCCAGCGAAAGAACUCUGGAAGAUGACUAUGAACCAUUACAUAGAAUUCCCAAUCCCUAUAUUUUUGUCCACCUGCAUUUUUGAUUUCCUUCACAAGUUAAUUGUACACUAUUUCAAAGUCCGAUUUCUUUUUGUACAGCAAAAUAACUGUAUGGACAUGUAUACAUAUAUUGUAUUUAACUUAUGCUUUAACAUGUUUAACAUGUAUUGGUCAACCUGCCAUCUUGGGGAGAGGGUGGGGAGAAGGAAGGGAAAAAUUGGAACAAAAGGUUUGGCAAUUGUCAGUGCUGAAAAAUUACCCAUGCAUAUAUCUUGUAAAUAAAAAGCUAUGAUAAAAACAAAA